AUUCAGUGAUAAUGUUGAUUCAUCUGAAAUAUCUACUGUUCUGGCUAGAAGAGUCACAUAAAAUCAUGUUGCUCAGUUAUUUUCUGCUACUCCAGAUCUAAACAAUGAAGCUGCCUCCAAAUAGUUCUAGUAUUCCUAAGGGCAGGCCAAUGAUUUUGACUUUAGUGCUGAGGUUUUUUUAAAAAGACUAAGGCUUUAAGUAUUCUCACAACUAGAAAUGCUUUUGAAUGUGCUCAUGAAGGAAAGGAACACAAGGCCCCAGAUACUUCUUAGGACAAUAUUUGAGACCAUAAUGUGUGUCUGCUAAACUACCUGCCUUCAGUAUCAGAUCUCAACAACAGAAACAGGAGAUCUAUAUAUCUCACUAACAGAAACAGGAGUGCAUGCAAAGGCAGAUGGUGCAUCUUUAAAACACUCAGACAGUGCUCCCAGUGAAGUCAUUCCAACACGUGCUCAGAUAUGGAACAUUAAAACACCACUGGCAGAUCCAGAUGUAUUUUAUCUUGGCCUUGAAGGUUCUUUUCCUUCACAUCCCUAAGCAACUACAAUGUUUUGAGAGCUCCAAAACUGAGGAAAUAGAGAGAUUAACCAAGGUUUUUUUACUUCUCUGCCUUCCCAGAUAUGCCAGGCUGGGUAUAUGCCCAUGUGUGAGAGGCUACCAGCACCCACGUAUCCAUGAGGGUCUGAGGCAAGGUUUUAUGAUAUCCUGACUCUUACUGCUCAAUGUCAAAAAGUCAAGGCAGCAGAAAUGGCUCUGAGUUGCCAGGAGUCGUUUUCCCCUCAGGCCAAGGAAGGGAACAGGUCCAUCAUGUGUUAUCUAAUGGCUGUGCAGGUCUGUUCAUUACACCAGGGAGAUCAGUACUGCAGUGCUGCCCUCGGUUCUGGAGUCCCCUAUCUGGAAAGGAUGGGAUGGAUCACAAACUACAAUCCUAGAAGAGAGCUUGGCUGAAGUCAGCUGUAUUACAACAGGUCUGGAUUUCACUCAUGGGGAACAUAGCUUUUCCUUUACACUGAACAAUCAAAUUUGCCAAGCUUGUCUCUGGCAGCCAGACUUGAUCAAGUGCAGUUGCUGCAGUACAGAAAGAAACAGUCUGAACUCAGCAUUUAUGGCUGUGCAGAGAUCCAGAGACUGUCACAAGGAGGAGCCCCCCUUCACCAUUUUGUUCGUCUCCCUCCCCUCAGCCAGCAAGUGGCUAAUUCUGUCCCCAGAGUUGUCUACAAUUCUCCACUGUAAACAUCAAGAAUGAUAGACCAUCCCUAUCUCUUUGUGCUGACUAUAUGAAAUUUUAUGGACUAUCGAUGCUCUUAAGAGCACUCUGGAAAUGGAAUAGUAUCAUCAUUCAACUCCUUGCAGGACCAGUUGUGAGAACAGUUUUGAGCAAAACUGGAUGAAGCAGUAGUUUUAGUCUUAGUUUAGGUUUCUGGGGGCUAUGCAGCAGUCUUGUAGACAUUCAUGACUCUUCACAGAAUAGAGGAAAAAAUAUAGAUGAUGAUGACGAUUAAUAAUAAUAAACUAAUAAUAAUCAUAUAGUCAAAAUAUUAAAAAGGUUGCUUUUAUUUCUCUGUGAAAAUUAAAAUGUUGACCUUUCCUUUAGUCUGAUUUUGUAAAAACCAGCUUUAUUUGAUUCAAUAAAGUGACUAAACAGUAAGUAGAGGAUGGUAACUGUACACUAAAGUGGGAGGAAAAAUCAAAUGUCAGAUAAGAAUUGCCUGAGCAAUGUAAGACCAUCUUUUAAGUCAUGGAAGGAGUCAAAGUAAGGUUGCCAAGGAAACCCUAACUUUGCUUUUCCUACGUUGGUUUUGUUUUUUUUUUUUUUUUUAAUUAUGAACUUAGCCUCCUCAUUGUGCCAAAAUUAAUGGGAAUUUUGAGUCCUAGCAAUUAAUCUGUGGAUUUUGUCUUUCUUCUUUGUCUCUGUUCAUUUGUCAUAUGAUAUAUUAGAAUCUGAACAUACCUUUCUGAACAUCAUUUAUGCUAUGUACAGGGAAAAUGAUAAGGUUAAAGAAAAAAGACCUCUCAACAGUCAUUUAAGGAAAGAGAGGCCCAUAAAAAAUGGAAGCACGGUGGCCUGUCUGUAUGGCUUUGAAUAACACCCUUCCCGAGAUAAAACCAUAUUGACUGGACUGAUUCUAGAUAGCUGGCUUUGCAGCACCAUCUGCAUGCUGUGGCAAUCUAUGAUUCUAAUUAUUUGGAAUUGUUAUUCAGUCUGAUAAAUUGUAUGAAGGAUUUUGUUUUCCAUCAAGUCAUUCUUCAUUCAGCACUGAUAGCAUCAUAAUUAAGUAGCAGUUGCUGACUCUGAAUGUGGAUAAUUCAUAGGAAUUAUUUCUAAUAAACAAACAACAUAAAAUGUAUCAAAAACCAUCCUUAAAACAUAAUCUCUUGCUCUGUGUACUGGAUCUAUUCCCUCUGAUACAACCUAAUCAGACAAAAAGCAGAGGAGGUAUUUGCACAUUUCAGCUUUCCUGUUCUGUGAGCUUUGUUAGGAAGUGU